CCCGCAUCUCAUGGCCACCUCUACACCCUUGCGCGCGAUGGUGGCGGUGAGGUCGGCGCCAUCAUCGAGAAGCACGUGGCACCGUCUGCGGGGUCUGUCCAGCGACGCCAAUAUCUUCUGCGGCGCGAUGCCGACGCGGUCCACCACGACCGCUUGUUGAUUCCGCCUGCCCAGCGACGGAUGCAUGGCAACCGUGCCUAGGUCCACACUCUGCUCCCGCCAGUAUCGGCAACAACAAGAAGGCCUGGAAGACCGAACACUGCAGGGCACUGAAGAUAAAGCUUACAGAAAGAAAUAAAGAUGGCCAUAUUCUCACAUACUCCUGGAUUUCAUUUACAUCAACUUCUCAAGAGAGGAGUUCUCCUUUUUAGUAGUCUCAGUUUAAAGUAAAUUAAAUGAAAGGAGUACUCCUUUUCAGUCGUCUCAGUUUAAAGUAAAUGAAAGGAGUACUUGCUCCAUGUACUAGUUACUUCUACUACUUAUUUUUAGUUGUUUAGUACUACUCUGUAGAUCUGUGAUACUAGUUUAGUUGCUUGUAUAAUUUUGUUUAUUAGUGUAACCUGAACUAUGGAGUAGUACCCUGUUCGCAUAUGUGUGA